AUGAAUGUCACCCCAGAGGUCAAGAGUCGUGGGAUGAAGUUUGCUGAGGAGCAGCUGCUAAAGCAUGGAUGGACUCAAGGCAAAGGCCUCGGCCGGAAGGAGAAUGGUAUCACCCAGGCUCUCAGGGUGACACUGAAGCAAGACACUCAUGGGGUGGGACAUGACCCUGCCAAGGAGUUCACAAACCACUGGUGGAAUGAGCUCUUCAACAAGACUGCGGCCAACUUGGUAGUGGAAACUGGGCAGGAUGGAGUACAGAUAAGGAGCCUUUCUAAGGAGACCACCCGUUAUAAUCAUCCCAAGCCCAACCUGCUGUAUCAGAAGUUUGUGAAGAUGGCUACAUUGACUUCAGGUGGAGAGAAGCCAAACAAAGACUUGGAGAGCUGCAGUGAUGACGACAACCAGGGGCCCAAGUCCCCAAAGAUUACCUCAAAAAGUGCCAGGUCCUGAACAAGAACUCAGUGUUGAAGGAAUGUUUUAGAAGGAGGAGAGGUCAAGCCCUUCCACCAGGUCUGUUUGUAACUGCCGAUCUCCCCUAACAGUCUGACUGAUGAGAUGCUGCUCCAAGCCUGUGAGGGGCGAACAGCACACAAGGCUGCCCGUCUUGGGAUCACGAUGAAGGCCAAACUUGCUCGCCUAGAGGCCCAGGAGCAGGCCUUCCUGGCUCGUCUCAAAGGCCAGGACCCUGGGGCCCCUCAACCGCAGUCAGAGAGCAAGCCCCCCAGAAAAAAGAAAAAGAAAAAGAAACAGAAAGAGGAGGAAGAAGCUACAGCAUCUGAAAGGAAUGAUGCAGAUGAGAAGCACCCAGAACAUGCUGAGCAGAACAUCAGAAAAAGC
rnacentral:sRNA from 1 species